rnacentral:rRNA from 1 species
CCUACGGGAGGCAGCAGUGAGGAAUAUUGGUCAAUGGGCGGGAGCCUGAACCAGCCAAGUCGCGUGAGGGAAGACGGUCCUAUGGAUUGUAAACUUCUUUUAUAAAGGAAUAAAACGAGGCACGUGUGCCUUUUUGCAUGUACUUUAUGAAUAAGGAUCGGCUAACUCCGUGCCAGCAGCCGCGGUAAUACGGAGGAUCCGAGCGUUAUCCGGAUUUAUUGGGUUUAAAGGGAGCGUAGAUGGGUUGUUAAGUCAGUUGUGAAAGUUUGCGGCUCAACCGUAAAAUUGCAAUUGAUACUGGCAGUCUUGAGUACAGUUGAGGUAGGCGGAAUUCGUGGUGUAGCGGUGAAAUGCUUAGAUAUCACGAAGAACCCCGAUUGCGAAGGCAGCUUACUAAACUGUGACUGACAUUGAUGCUCGAAAGUGUGGGUAUCAAACAGGAUUAGAUACCCCUGUAGUC